AGGAUUAACGCUGGCGGCGUGCCUGACACAUGCAAGUCGAACGAGGCCGCAAGGCCGAGUGGCGGACGGGUGAGUAACACGUGACCAACCAACCUCGAAGUUGGGAAUAGCUCUGCGAAAGUAGGGGUAAUACCGAAUGUGGCCCAGGGCGGGCAUCCGCCUUGGUCUAAAGAUUCAUCGCUUCGAGACGGGGUCGCGGCCUAUUAGCUUGUUGGUGAGGUAACGGCUCACCAAGGCGAUGAUGGGUAGCUGGUCUGAGAGGACGACCAGCCACACUGGGACUGAGACACGGCCCAGACUCCUACGGGAGGCAGCAGUGAGGAAUCUUCCGCAAUGGGCGAAAGCCUGACGGAGCAACGCCGCGUGUGGGAUGAAGACUCUAGGGUUGUAAACCACUGUCGGAGGGGACGAUCGUGACGGUACCCUCCAAGAAAGCCCCGGCUAACCUACGUGCCAGCAGCCGC
rnacentral:rRNA from 1 species